rnacentral:rRNA from 1 species
UCGGGGUACUCGAGUGGCGAACGGGGGAGUAACACGUGGGUGAUCUGCCCUGCACUUUGGGAUAAGCCUGGGAAACUGGGUCUAAUAACGAAUAGGACCACGCGCUUCAUGGGGUGUGGUGGAAAGCUUUUGCGGUGUGGGAUGGGCCCGCGGCCUAUCAGCUUGUUGGUGGGGUAAUGGCCUACCAAGGCGACGACGGGUAGCCGGCCUGAGAGGGUGACCGGCCACACUGGGACUGAGAUACGGCCCAGACUCCUACGGGAGGCAGCAGUGGGGAAUAUUGCACAAUGGGCGCAAGCCUGAUGCAGCGACGCCGCGUGAGGGAUGACGGCCUUCGGGUUGUAAACCUCUUUCAAUAGGGACGAAGCGNNAGUGACGGUACCUAUAGAAGAAGCACCGGCCAAACUACGUGCCAGCAGCCGCGGUAAUACGUAGGGUGCGAGCGUUGUCCGGAAUUACUGGGCGUAAAGAGCUCGUAGGUGGUUUGUCGCGUUGUUCGUGAAAACUCACAGCUUAACUGUGGGCGUGCGGGCGAUACGGGCAGACUAGAGUACUGCAGGGGAGACUGGAAUUCCUGGUGUAGCGGUGGAAUGCGCAGAUAUCAGGAGGAACACCGGUGGCGAAGGCGGGUCUCUGGGCAGUAACUGACGCUGAGGAGCGAAAGCGUGGGGAGCGAACAGGAUUAGAUACCCUGGUAGUCCACGCCGUAAACGGUGGGUACUAGGUGUGGGUUCCUUCCUUGGGAUCCGUGCCGUAGCUAACGCAUUAAGUACCCCGCCUGGGGAGUACGGCCGCAAGGCUAAAACUCAAAGGAAUUGACGGGGGCCCGCACAAGCGGCGGAGCAUGUGGAUUAAUUCGAUGCAACGCGAAGAACCUUACCUGGGUUUGACAUGCACAGGACGCCGGCAGAGAUGUCGGUUCCCUUGUGGCCUGUGUGCAGGUGGUGCAUGGCUGUCGUCAGCUCGUGUCGUGAGAUGUUGGGUUAAGUCCCGCAACGAGCGCAACCCUUGUCCUAUGUUGCCAGCGGGUUAUGCCGGGGACUCGUAGGAGACUGCCGGGGUCAACUCGGAGGAAGGUGGGGAUGACGUCAAGUCAUCAUGCCCCUUAUGUCCAGGGCUUCACACAUGCUACAAUGGCCGGUACAAAGGGCUGCGAUGCCGUGAGGUGGAGCGAAUCCUUUCAAAGCCGGUCUCAGUUCGGAUCGGGGUCUGCAACUCGACCCCGUGAAGUCGGAGUCGCUAGUAAUCGCAGAUCAGCAACGCUGCGGUGAAUACGUUCCCGGGCCUUGUACACACCGCCCGUCACGUCAUGAAAGUCGGUAACACCCGAAGCC